rnacentral:tRNA from 1 species
GCUCUAGUAGUUUAAUAGUUAGAAUUUUAGAUUAUAAUUCUAAAGGUUCUAGAUUCGAAUCCUAAUUAAAGUA